UACGUAGGGGGCGAACGUUGUCCGGAUUUAUUGGGCGUAAAGAGCUCGUAGGCGGCUCAGCAAGUCGGCCGUGAAAACCCGGGGCUCAACCCCGGGACGCCGGUCGAAACUGCUGUGGCUAGGGUUCGGUAGAGGAGAGUGGAAUUCCCGGUGUAGCGGUGAAAUGCGCAGAUAUCGGGAGGAACACCAGUAGCGAAGGCGGCUCUCUGGGCCGAUACCGACGCUGAGGUGCGAAAGCGUGGGGAGCAAACAGG
rnacentral:rRNA from 1 species